rnacentral:rRNA from 1 species
CCUACGGGGGGCAGCAGUGAGGAAUAUUGGUCAAUGGGCGGGAGCCUGAACCAGCCAAGUCGCGUGAGGGAAGACGGUCCUAUGGAUUGUAAACCUCUUUAGGCGGGGAGCAAUGCCGGGCACGCGUGCCCGGAGGGAGAGUACCCGCAGAAUAAGCAUCGGCUAACUCCGUGCCAGCAGCCGCGGUAAUACGGAGGAUGCGAGCGUUAUCCGGAUUUAUUGGGUUUAAAGGGUGCGUAGGCGGCCUUUUAAGUCAGCGGUGAAAGUCUGUGGCUCAACCAUAGAAUUGCCGUUGAAACUGGGAGGCUUGAGUAUGUUUGAGGCAGGCGGAAUGCGUGGUGUAGCGGUGAAAUGCUUAGAUAUCACGCAGAACCCCGAUUGCGAAGGCAGCCUGCCAAGCCAUGACUGACGCUGAUGCACGAAAGCGUGGGGAUCAAACAGGAUUAGAUACCCUAGUAGUC